UCUUUCCCCGCGUGUCCGAGCCCUCACCUCCGCCCAUUUCUCUUCUCUUCCCCAACGGACGCGCCGAUGUCGUUCACCUGACGGCGCCACAACCGCGACGUUUCUCCUCCCUCGCGUAUAAGGCAGUGGCCAAAAGGAAUCAGGCACUUCUUCUUCCCGAUUCCUCUCCCCCAUCUCGCCUGAUCUCCCCUGUGCUGACGGUGUUGCCAAAAACACCGCCGGCCAAGUUCUUGUCUCCUUCUCUCGGAGUUGCCCUCUGCCCUAGCUAUUCUCGUGCUACCUCCCCUACUGAGCAGCUCUUGUGCACGACGACAACCACUGUGCACCGUUGGCCACAUCUACCCGUGCCCUAGUUCGUCGGUGUUGGAAGCUGAGGACUUUUGCAAGAGGUCGGCGAUCUUCCUCUUGUGUUCUCAAAGCUACAGGGUUCUCUCUCUCCCAUCUGUAGAUCAGCAGAAGCAUCGAUGUCGGCCGUGUGAGAAUUGCUGAUGCCCUUCCCUUUUCCCUAGCUUUCAGUCGAUCCCCUCUUCAUUGGAGCAGGUCACGAUCUUAAUCAUCUGUCACCACUGAUCCUACCUUUCCUGUCGAUUUCCUUUAAGUUGGUGCCCUAGUGUUGUUGUUGUCCUUCUUUGUCGUAGCACAUCACCUCAGCAACAUUGGAGUUUCUGUUAGAGAGGAAGCUACAGAUCUAGAUUAAGGUGUAUGUUUGGAUUUGGAGGUUCACGGCUCCGCCACAGCAGCCGGCGAUCCCUUAGGUGUUGAGUGUUGUUGGUCAGAUUCGCUAUUUGCCAAGAGGAAGCUAACCUACGUUCCAUAGAGGUUGAGGCUGUCCGGAGGAGUUCCAGUCGCUAGUCCCCGACCACUUCGCGUUGCGACGAGUUCGCACAUUUUGGUUUAUGUUAUUGUCUAUGUUACUUAGACUUGUAUCUUUUGGCACUUGGAUCUUGUACGAUCUCUUAUUAUGGAUGGGUUUUCAUUUGGAUGUAUGCUGGUGAUUUGUGUUUUAUGGGUGUAGUUGAGUAGGAUAUCGAAUUUGUGUUUUAUGGAUGUA